rnacentral:lncRNA from 1 species
CAACAGCACACAGGCAAAGUAAAGAUUCGAGUUCUGAAACCAGAAUCAUUUACAGCUCCGCUUCAGCCGCCACCUCCGCCCUCUUUCCAAACUAAUGGUCAACGGACAGCGAGAAGAAACAGAGUCAAGGAAGCGAUCUGUGGACCGUGUGAGGUGAAGACUGCAGGAUUGCAGUUUAGUUGGGGCCAUUCAUCAAUGUUUGAGACUUUCAAAGCUGCUGUUCAGUCUCACCUACUCCUGACUCACUUCUGCUCAAGAAGAGAAACCCCGCUGUGCAACUGUAUUUGUGAAUAGGAAGGAAAAGUGUGUAUUUCAAGAACUGUCGCUACAGGUACAGAAAAAACAAAACAUCACUCUCGCAGCAAAGCUGUCUCUAUCUAAACGUGUAGUUCUUCAAUUCUGUUAAAGGGGCCUUACCAUGAUUUUCUU